rnacentral:rRNA from 1 species
UGGUGAGGUAACGGCUCACCAAGCCGACGAUCAGUAGCCGGUCUGAGAGGAUGAACGGCCACACUGGAACUGAGACACGGUCCAGACUCCUACGGGAGGCAGCAGUGGGGAAUCUUCCGCAAUGGACGAAAGUCUGACGGAGCAACGCCGCGUGAACGAAGAAGGUCUUCGGAUUGUAAAGUUCUGUGAUUCGGGACGAAAGGGUUUGUGGUGAAUAAUCAUAGACAUUGACGGUACCGAAAAAGCAAGCCACGGCUAACUACGUGCCAGCAGCCGCGGUAAUACGUAGGUGGCAAGCGUUGUCCGGAAUUAUUGGGCGUAAAGCGCGCGCAGGCGGUUUCUUAAGUCCAUCUUAAAAGCGUGGGGCUCAACCCCAUGAGGGGAUGGAAGCUGGGAAGCUGGAGUAUCGGAGAGGAAAGUGGAGUUCCUAGUGUAGCGGUGAAAUGCGUAGAGAUUAGGAAGAACACCGGUGGCGAAGGCGACUUUCUAGACGAAAACUGACGCUGAGGCGCGAAGCGUGGGGAGCAAACAGG